rnacentral:tRNA from 1 species
GGGUUGUUAAGAUAAGGAAAGUCUGCAAGUGUUCAAUACUUGAAGUGAGAGUAUUCUCAUGACCUG